rnacentral:sRNA from 1 species
CUGAAACGGGAGCAAGCAAGCUGAAUGGCUCCAUUAAUUUAAUUGAAGCCAGCUCAGACAAGAGAUAAAACAUCCCAGCCUGCUUCUUUUCAUGAGCCGUGAGUGCUGUAGUAAACAGGCAGAGAUCCAAACCCCAAAUAGAAAUAAAGGUGCACGGGACACUCCAGUGACUUCAAGGCCAUGGGAUCUGACAGAUGCAGAGAUGAAUUAACCCUGAAGAGGCCUCAAGGUAUAGCACCAGGCCAGUACCGAGCACUGCCUAGGCCUCUUUCAGAAACUGAAUGACUCCGGGUUACAUAGUGCAAAGCUGCACGGCCACUAUUUAAGGCAGCGUGGCAGUUCAUCUGGAGAAUGGGAGUCGAAUACUCUUUUGUUACCACUGAAAUACUUGUUCAACCAUGUUCAUUGCUGUUUGCUAUUCCGAAAAGUAAAAAAUCAGAAGCCACCUAGAUGUCUCUCAUCAGAAGAAGGCGUAAAGAAAACCUGGUGCAAUCAGACAUUCUCUGGUAAAUGAAUGGAACUAGAAAAUUCAUCCUGAGUGAUUAAAGACAAAGAUGCAGAAGGAAACAAUCACAGAGAUCCAUGGAACAAUCAGCCCUACAAUGAAUGUCUCCACAAAUGUCUCCCUUCACGUCUCAGAAAAAACUAAGAAAGAAGAGGUGGAAAGAAUGAAAGAGACCGAGGAAUGGAAGACAGCAAUCAUCGCUUCUCGGCCUUUUGGCUAAGAUCAAGUGUGGAAGACAGCAACCUAUGUGACCCUCUAGAUGGCCAUGAGCAAAACUCAGAUGACCUUGCACAGACUGAAGGAGCAUGCACAGGGUCUGCAUUUGUCUGCACUAAAUCCUUUGCAUAUAUAUUAUGACUUCUACUUUAGUGUUAUUACGGAAUUGCAAAGGUGUGAUUGAGUGAGUCUUUGAUUCUUGGGCCUUCUCUCUCUUUCUUCUGAUUUUUGUUAUUGUUGUUUGUUUGUUUGUUUUGGUUUUA